rnacentral:rRNA from 1 species
GAUGAACGCUGGCGGUCUGCUUAACACAUGCAAGUCGAACGGAAUCCUUCGGGAUUUAGUGGCGGACGGGUGAGUAACGUGUGAGAAUCUGCCUUCAAGUUGGGGACAACAGCUGGAAACGGCUGCUAAUACCGGAUGUGCCGAGAGGUGAAAGCUUUAGUGCCUGAAGAUGAGCUCGCGUCUGAUUAGCUAGUAGGAGUGGUAAUGGCACCCCUAGGCGACGAUCAGUAGCUGGUCUGAGAGGAUGAUCAGCCACACUGGGACUGAGACACGGCCCAGACUCCUACGGGAGGCAGCAGUGGGGAAUUUUCCGCAAUGGGCGCAAGCCUGACGGAGCAAGACCGCGUGAGGGAAGAAGGUCUGUGGAUUGUAAACCUCUUUUGAUGGGGAAGAAGACAGUGACGGUACCCAUCGAAUCAGCCUCGGCUAACUCCGUGCCAGCAGCCGCAGUAA